GUGGGGAGGUGGACUUGAGGGUGGGGUCUGGGUCUAGAAGAUGUGUCCCAAGGGGGUAGGACCCUUUGAUCGUCUCAGACUGUAAAGCAGUGUCUCAGGUCUGUGGGAUCUAGGAACACCAGAGGUAGCAGAAGUCAAACCCCCACACCCCCCACCGACAAAGCCCAUCUUAGAAUGUAGCGUAUGCACUGUCUCCUUGGACACCUCUCUCUAAGCAUUUUCUGCAAACCUUCUAGAACACAAACAACAUGGGCUUCCCACUGAAAGCUUUAGGGCUACAGCACUGCCAAUCCCAAGCUCUGUGGCUCUGAGAGUGCAGUCAAUCUUCACUUCUUAAAGAUGGCUAUGAGGACAGACUCCCCCGUCCUAGGUUAAGCCUGGGGUCUGCUCUGGGAGCUCUGGAUAGACCAGUGACAGGAGGAUUACUACUGGAUUCCUGACCUCAAGGAAUUGUUCCAUCUCACAAAGGCACGGGCUACCUCUGAGAGAGCACCUAAAUACACGACCAGCCCAGAAUGAUAAGCUGCAGCUGAGACAGGUGCAUUUGGGUGCUGCAGAUGCCAAUGGAGACAGCAUUCCAUCAUGAGUUCACACAGGAGGAAGGAGAAAGGAGACCCCACUAUUCAACAUGGUGUCUGUUGGGGGAAGAACAGGGAAGAUGCUACAUCUUAGCAGUUGUAAGUAUACAUCCUGGGGUAGGUUUUGAGCCUCAAAGGUGAGAAGCCCCAGGAGACCUCAUGUAGAUAAGGGAAACCCAAAGCCUGGCCCUGCAUCAUCAGCAUCACCUACAAACAGAUGCUCAACGUACAGCCUCAACCUUGACUCAUCUGCCCCACCUCAGGGCCUGGGUAAUGCUACUGGAUCUCACUUGGUCCACAUACUGCACAGCUCCCACACAACAAGACAGCCAUUGGUCACCCUGAGCAGGGUAUCCUGUGAGCUACAUGGGAGAUACAGCUGGGAAGACUUGCUGAAGACAUGCUGUGGGGCUGUGAGGCUUGAUCCCAGUUUCUCCAUUGUUAAUGCUGUGAACUCUGUCCCCCAGGGCCUCCGACUCCAUUUGCAAUAGGGCCCAGGCUGGUAGAAAUUCAACAGGGUUCUGAAUGAGAGCAGUAAACUGCUCUAGCACAUCGGAAGCCCCUCACAUGCACAGUGAGCACUCAGCGCAUCGCUGCCAGCACCUGACUACAGAGCACAUUCAGGAGCACUGGGCACUUGGCCAGUGCUGAUGUGCUGCACACAGAGAUGGGAGUAAGUAUGGCGGGUAAGGGUCUGGUGUGAUGCGAGAGGACACCAGGAUGAGAACUGCUCAGUGUUUCCAUUUUCCCUCGUCUACAAACAAUUCUGAUACUUGGGACUUCAAAGGAAAUGAAGAAACCUAGGAAAAUAUUUCUUCCAUGUCAAUUUUAAAUCCCACCAACCUUCUCUCUCUAUAAUUACAGCUGUCAGUGUUGGCAUCAAGGGAAAAUGGUGUCCUUGGCUUUAAAAUGUGGCCAUUAGGGACUCAGUUAAAAAUAAAUUCUCUUCCUGAGAUGGAGGACCAGAAAAUGUGCUUUUGCUCCAACCUGAUAAAAAUGUCACCGUGUGACACCUUUCUUGAAAAGCCUAGGAUAGAUACCAUGGAGGACUUCUUCAGAUGUCCCCUUUUCAGUGGACCAGGUCCACAGGGCAAUCCUGUCAGGGUGAGCACAGCCGAGCGUGGCAGGGCGUCUACUGAGGAUCUCAGGCAGAAGCACUGUGGCCAGUGCUGCCGCUGUUUUAAGCAGAGAGACAGGGUCAGAAUCACAGUGAAGGCGUGACAUCUGCCUGGCAAGCUCACCAGUCUACAAACAACCCCGGCAUUAGGUAUGUAUAAAGUCCUGUACAAACAUUUCCCAAACUCUUCCAUUUUGCAAUUGAGGGAUCAGCAGUGUGCAGUGCAGACACCCCACCCAUCUUUGGGGUAUCCAGUCUGAGAGCCAAGUCAUACACCCCAGGGGACUCACUGCUGCUCUUUCUAAACAAGAAGUUUUUGAGACAGAUCAGAGGGACCCAUUUCACCCUGAGGCAUAGGGACAGGAAUUAAGCAGGCUGGGCAAUGCCAGAUGCUAUACGUGCAGUUAAAUAUCUUUGGCAAGGAAAGUCACAACACGAUGGAAAUGCCUUCAUGAGACUCGGGAGAUUAAGAGAAUUUUGAGUUUAGUGUUUUAACUUUUACUAAGGCUUUCUUGUAAACACUCUUAAUUUUUUUUUUUUUUCUGUGAAUAAUCCAAACCCUCAGAAUGAACCAUCUUAACAGGCUCUUCUGUUACCAUGGCAGCCUUGGAUGGCGAGCUGCCAGCUGGUCAAGUGCCCCUGUGGCAGCCUGGAUGUUUGAGAAAUCUCUCCAUCUGAGGACACCCCAGCAUCUACAGAGGGCUGUUACAGCCACAGUGGAAGGCACACUCCCAUUAUGACCAUUAGCCUUUACGAUCAUGACUGUUUGCCCCCUGUUAUUCUCAUGUAUGCCAGAGGGGGCGCACUUCCCCGGUGGCCCAGAAAGUGGCCUUGGUCAUACCUACUCCUUGGCUACAUAACCAGGCUAUUCAGUUCACAGUCCUUGUCCUGAGAGGCAGCCUCUUGCCCUGAAAUACUAAGCCCCUUAAACAGCUUCUCCCAAAUGGUCUUUCCUUGUACUGGCAGGUAACAGGGACAUUAGGGCCACGAAGUAACAGGACAACAGCCUGUGACCACGUAUGAUGCUAAUCCUCUGUCAGCCUGCCUGGAUUUGGAGUCACGCAGGAGACAUAGGCCUGGGUGAGUGUGUGAGGGCAUUUCCAAGGAGAAAUCCUGCUGCAAAGAAGAGCCGGACUGAGUGCAGGCAACGUCAUCCUACGGGUAGACACUCUACACAGAAUACAAAGGAGAAGAGGAAGAGGAGAGCUGAGGGCCAGCCUCUGUCUCUGCUUGCUGACUGUGGAUACGAUGUGACUGGCUGACCCGCACUCCUGCCAUGAUGGACCUCAUCCUGGGACUAUGACCAAACUCAGCAACCCUUCCUUUCCCUUAGGUUCCUCUGUGGGCGUUCCGUCACAGUCAUAAUAAAAGUAACUAAUACCCUG
rnacentral:lncRNA from 1 species